rnacentral:tRNA from 1 species
GCCCGAAUAGCUCAGUCGGUAGAGCAGGGGAUUGAAAAUCCCCGUGUCCCUGGUUCGAUUAGCCCGUUCGCGCA